rnacentral:rRNA from 1 species
AAAGAUUAAGCCAUGCAUGUCUAAGUAUAAGCAAUUUGUACUGUGAAACUGCGUAUGGCCCAUUAAAUCAGUUAUCGUUUAUUUGAUAGUACCUUACUACAUGGAUACCUGUGGUAAUUCUAGAGCUAAUACAUGCUAAAAACCCCGACUUCGGAAGGGGUGUAUUUAUUAGAUAGAAAACCAAUGCCCUUCGGGGCUCCUUGGUGAAUCAUAAUAACUUAGCGAAUCGCAUGGCCUUGCGCCGGCGAUGGUUCAUUCAAAUUUCUGCCCUAUCAACUUUCGAUGGUAGGAUAGUGGCCUACCAUGGUGGCAACGGGUAACGGGGAAU